rnacentral:rRNA from 1 species
AUUGAACGCUGGCGGCAGGCCUAACACAUGCAAGUCGAACGAGUGGCGGACGGGUGAGUAAUGUCUGGGAAACUGCCUGAUGGAGGGGGCUAACUACUGGAAACGGUAGCUAAUACCGCAUACCAUCGGAUGUGCCCAGAUGGGAUUAGCCAGUAGGGGGGGGAAAGGCUCACCUAGGCGACGAUCCCUAGCUGGUCUGAGAGGAGGACCAGCCACACUGGAACUGAGACACGGGCCAGACUCCGACGGGAGGCAGCAGUGGGGAAUAUUGCACAAUGGGCGCAAGCCUGAUGCAGCCAUGCCGCGUGUAUGAAGAAGGCCUUCGGGUUGUAAAGUACUUUCAGCGGGGAGGCGUUACCCGCAGAAGAAGCACCGGCUAACUCCGUGCCAGCAGCCGCGGUAAUAC